rnacentral:rRNA from 1 species
GAACCUGGGGAAGGAUCAUUA